rnacentral:misc_RNA from 1 species
UAAUGGAUUGGAUGUGGGGGUCUAUUUUGCCGGCUUCUUUACGAGGUCAGCUCCCCUGAAAUGCAUUAGCAGAACAACCCUGUUCAUUGGUGUGAUAACUAUCUACGCUAUUGUGAAGGGAAGUUCAGCUUUCUAACUGUCUUUGGACAAUUCAUCAUUAAUGUGACCUCAAAUCAGGUAGGACUACCCGCUGAACUUAA